UAUCCAGGGGUGCUGCAACAGCCCAAGUAGUUUGUUACAUGGGCUGCUCAUAGAAUUUGUUCCUAACAUUUUACUACACGGAAAAGCCAGUUCCUUCUCUCUCAUUGUACCAGGUGAGAAGAUCACAAAGAAGCAACACCGUGACAAUAGGCUUGAGGUUUGGCAGAGCUCGCGGCUACGGGGCCUCAGACAGUCACCCCACUGCUGAUUUUAGGAGUGUAAAGUCCCUCUGAGGAAGGAUAUGUAUAUAUAGGUGCAUGUAUAUCACAAGGGUAUUUUACCCCUAUUUACACAUACCAUGAUUUCAUAGCCACAGUCAUUUCACAGAGGAUGUGCAAAGACAAACAACAAACUUAGAUCUGCUUUGCAUUUUUGUGCUCUUGUGCUGAUGUUCCUUUUCUCCCUGCCAUUUGCAGUUCACUUUUCAUCCUCCCUGCUUCCAGUCUGAAGGUUUCUCUAAAUAAAGAUACUCAGAGCAUUAUAGGAAAAAUUGCUCCUUACAAAUAUCAGCUUGUUUAGCAGUUUCUAGAACUCAGGGCUUAUUAAGAGCUCGCUGCUGAAACAAUGAUUUAGCAUGAAGCUGCAGCUGGCGUAACAAGAGAACCAUGCCACGUAUUUUAACCUUUGCUGGAGGAUUUGCCACAUCUGUAAGUAGUAACUCACCACAGAUUUCUUCCCUGUGUGCUGUCAUGGAUGGAAACAUAUGGUUCAAAAUUGCAGAGACCAUCGUUUGGAAUUUCAGAUGAAAACUGUUCACAAGGACAGAGGCCCCGUGCUUUCCCUUGUCCAAAAACACAUGGAAUGAACCAAAAAUAAUUUUAAAAGCACACAAACGUUCCCCAGUCUGACAGCUCCCCCUUCACACAAAGCUUGUCCAGACCCAGCUUUGCAAAUGCACAUCCCUUCCUUUCCACCCUUUCCUUGGCAGCAGUUUUUGUUGGCAGGAUGCUGUUGCCAAGGGAGACAGAAAGGAUGUGCAGCUGGCUUUUCUUCCACCUGCACUUAGUGCUGCUGAUCCUGUUUAUGUUGCUGCAGAACCUUUGGCUUCUAAGAGACCUAGCAUCAAUGUCACCGGACCUUUUGAAGAGUUUUGACAAUGACACGAAUAGCCAUGACCUCUGAUGGAAGGCUUAAAAUAGGAUCUUGCCAAAGAGAGGAUGUAGUUGAUGUCACAGAUGCUGACUCAAGCGAGGGUAUCCAUUUCACAAGCAGCAAUAAAAAGGGAAAAAGGAGGAUUCAAAGACAUCUUAACAAAGGUUUCUGACAACUGCGCAAACCUCAGGGAUACUCACACGAAAUGUGUAUUUAAGAGAUGAUAACAUCCUCAGCUGUCAUUGUACCGGAGCAGUAAAAUUAUUCCCACAGUAAAGCGCAAUAUAGGGAAGCAAUCCUGUUUGGAGCCAGAGCACUACGUGUGGCAUCUGCAUUACAGCUGCAGGAGAACAUUAGUCUUUGCAUUAACAUUAACUACUGUGGCUGAGCGAAUAUAUUAGCAGCAGCCUUAGUAAAGGUCAGGACACAGAGAAGAAGGAAUAUCAAGAAGCAUUAUACAGAGGACAUAAUUUUCAGGUAAAGUGCUGAGUUUCAGCCCCAUUCAAUAUGAGUUGAAAGGACUGGAUGGAUAUAAAUAAAGGCAGGCUUGCUUGAGGGACCAAUUACAGGGCCAUCGAUAGCAGUGUCAGGAAAAGUCCAUCGGGAAAACAGUGGCUUCUGCUACACUGGUGUAAAUCCAGGACAACUGCACUGCAAUUAGUCAAAUUAUUCAGCAUAUAAAUGACUCUGAGAGGAGAACAUAGGAAAAACUAAAGGAACCAGCAGAAAUAAAACACAGUUGGCAGCUGAAGACCAAUGUCGCCAAAUGGGAAAAAAGGAACUAUCUGAAGACAAACAGCAAUUAAUAACUGGAACGAGCAGGCAAAGGAGCAAGAGGAUCAUCUUCUGUUCUCUUCAAGUUUGGGUGCUGGUGGCCACAGGUUGUGCUGAGCAAUCUUGAAAGCUCAGCACAACCACGGUUUGGCUGUUUCAUUUUCCCCUUUACCUGGUUUGUUGGAAAUUAGUGUUUCAGUCAAAUAGGGGAUUUAAAUAAGUCUCAAGUACUUUUCAUACCAAAAAUCUGGAAAACAGCUGCUUGGCCCAGGAUUAUUCACAAACACUAAGUCACAUAUAGCAGCUAAAACCAAGUUAUCUGGCAUGAAGCAAAGCCAGCUGCUGAAAUGCAUAUGAUAACAAGAAAUCUGUGUAUCUCAGCCUGAAGUUUUAGCUUAGUGCAGUCAGAAUCCGGCCUCUCAUUUUGGACACAGCCUCAGCAAGGUAUCUGAGCAGGAGCUGCUUCCCUCUGACUUCAGUGGAAUUGCUCACUCGCUGGAGGUGUCACACACGAUUAAUACUUCACUGAGCUGGGACCAGGGUGGGAGCAGGCAGAUAAAGCAGAGGGAGCACUCAAAUAAACGUGCAGCUAUGCUGUUACAGGCAUAAACCACAGAUUUUUGUGGAGACGUACAGCGUGCUGCUCUUUAUGUAGAUACAUUGUUCUCCUCUUCUGCUGCGCUUAUUUACUGUAUAUUUAUUCACAAGUGUCCCUGCUGGGAGCUGUUCCUGCAUGCUCAUUCACUGUCAAUUACAUUCCCAGAAACACGGCAGCACCUACAGCAACGUUUCUAUUGCAUUACAACUCUUUCCUUAAGAUGACCUUGGGUCUGAGAUAUUUAUCAGCAGGGAAAUAAAACAAAAAGACUAAAAAAAAAGACAGCAAGAGUUUGCAAGAAUUUGUUCGUGAAGGUAGCAUGAUUUGAGCUUACAAAUUACAGGCAAACAUUUUGUACUUGCUAUGGCAGUAUUAAAGCAUCUCCUUCUAAGAGCUCCACAUCAAGUUAUGCCUCUGUCUAAAUUAAUGCUUCCAAUUAGUUCUGUUUUAUUGUGCAUCCAUCACAGGAGGUUCACUGUUAGGGCUUUGAACAAUACAAAUCCAUACACUGGUAAUUAUGAAAAAAUACAUUUAGCA